rnacentral:rRNA from 1 species
CCUACGGGAGGCAGCAGUGAGGAAUAUUGGUCAAUGGACGCAAGUCUGAACCAGCCAUGCCGCGUGCAGGAAGACGGCUCUAUGAGUUGUAAACUGCUUUUGUACGAGGGUAAAUCCCGAUACGUGUAUCCGGUUGAAAGUAUCGUACGAAUAAGGAUCGGCUAACUCCGUGCCAGCCGCCGCGGUAAGACGGAGGAUUCAAGCGUUAUCCGGAUUUAUUGGGUUUAAAGGGUGCGUAGGCGGUUCGAUAAGUUAGAGGUGAAAUCCCGGGGCUCAACUGCGGCACUGCCUCUGAUACUGUCGGGCUAGAGUUUCGUAGCGGUAGGCGGAAUGUAAGGUGUAGCGGUGAAAUGCAUAGAGAUCAUACAGAACACCGAUUGCGAAGGCAGCUUACCAAACUACGACUGACGUUGAGGCACGAAAGCGUGGGGAGCAAACAGGAUUAGAUACCCUUGUAGUC